rnacentral:rRNA from 1 species
CCUACGGGUGGCAGCAGUGAGGAAUAUUGGUCAAUGGGCGCGAGCCUGAACCAGCCAAGUCGCGUGAAGGAUGACUGUCCUAUGGAUUGUAAACCUCUUUUGUCGAGGAGUAAAGAGCGGUACGUGUGCCUCAUCGUGAGUACCCUGAGAAUAAGCAUCGGCUAACUCCGUGCCAGCAGCCGCGGUAAUACGGAGGAUGCGAGCGUUAUCCGGAUUUAUUGGGUUUAAAGGGUGCGGAGGCGGCGUAUUAAGUCAGCGGGUAAAAUUUGGGGCUCAACCCUAAAAAUGCAGUUGAACCUGGCUGGCUAGAGUGGGCGAGAGGUAUGCGGAAUGCGUGGUGUAGCGGUGAAAUGCAUAGAUAUCACGAAGAACUCCGAUUGCGAAGGCAGCAUAC